CAGGUCCUUGGCAACACCCACUCAGACAAACAGAAAAUGAUCUCCAGGUCCUUGGCAACACCCACUCAGACAAACAGAAAAUGAUCUCCAGGUCCUUGGCAACACCCACUCAGACAAACAGAAAAUGAUCUCCAGGUCCUUGGCAACACCCACUCAGACAAACAGAAAAUGAUCUCCAGGUCCUUGGCAACACCCACUCAGACAAACAGAAAAUGAUCUCCAGGUCCUUGGCAACACCCACUCAGACAAACAGAAAAUGAUCUCCAGGUCCUUGGCAACACCCACUCAGACAAACAGAAAAUGAUCUCCAGGUCCUUGGCAACACCCACUCAGACAAACAGAAAAUGAUCUCCAGGUCCUUGGCAACACCCACUCAGACAAACAGAAAAUGAUCUCCAGGUCCUUGGCAACACCCACUCAGACAAACAGAAAAUGAUCUCCAGGUCCUUGGCAACACCCACUCAGACAAACAGAAAAUGAUCUCCAGGUCCUUGGCAACACCCACUCAGACAAACAGAAAAUGAUCUCCAGGUCCUUGGCAACACCCACUCAGACAAACAGAAAAUGAUCUCCAGGUCCUUGGCAACACCCACUCAGACAAACAGAAAAUGAUCUCCAGGUCCUUGGCAACACCCACUCAGACAAACAGAAAAUGAUCUCCAGGUCCUUGGCAACACCCACUCAGACAAACAGAAAAUGAUCUCCAGGUCCUUGGCAACACCCACUCAGACAAACAGAAAAUGAUCUCCAGGUCCUUGGCAACACCCACUCAGACAAACAGAAAAUGAUCUCCAGGUCCUUGGCAACACCCACUCAGACAAACAGAAAAUGAUCUCCAGGUCCUUGGCAACACCCACUCAGACAAACAGAAAAUGAUCUCCAGGUCCUUGGCAACACCCACUCAGACAAACAGAAAAUGAUCUCCAGGUCCUUGGCAACACCCACUCAGACAAACAGAAAAUGAUCUCCAGGUCCUUGGCAACA